UCAAUCUUUUUAUUCUUGUUUGUAGAGAUGCAAAAUGUUAUUCUCAACGAGCUUGCAGAAAUAAAAGUUCUUUUAAAAGAAGUUAUAGAAAUAUGUUUCAGGCUAUUGGGGUGAAGUUGCUAGAAUCAGUGGACGAAGUGGUUACACUGGAUAAUAAACUAAAAGAUAAAACCGAGUAUACUAAUUUGCUUGAUAGUUUGAAAAAGAUGGGUGGUGGAAAGCCAAGAGAACAUGUUUUUUUGAUCAUGAAAAGGUAAAUGAUUAUGUUUUUAUUAAUUAUUAGAAAUAUGAUUAAAAGGGACCAAAAGCAAUUCAUUUUGACCGUUAUUUGUUAUGGAUUUACUUUUAACAUGACAAUUUGAUAAACUCGGGAGCUUCACUGUAGGUGUUUAAGUUUGUUUGUGUGCUAAAAUAUCGGCGACGUGGAAGAAAAUGUUGACGGCAAUGCAGAAAUAUAGUUUCUUAUGUAUAUUUUUGUGAAAUAAAAAUUAAGUAAUGUUAGUUAAAA
rnacentral:misc_RNA from 1 species